GGGGAGGGGAAGUAGACUGGAAACGGGGGCUAAUACCGCAUAACGUCGCAAGACCAAAAGAAGGGGGGACCGUUCGGGCCUCUUGCCAUCGGAUGUGCCCAGAUGGGAUUAGCUAGUAGGUGGGGUAACGGCUCACCUAGGCGACGAUCCCUAGCUGGUCUGAGAGGAUGACCAGCCACACUGGAACUGAGACACGGUCCAG
rnacentral:rRNA from 1 species